rnacentral:piRNA from 1 species
UACGUUAAGUGAAUAAUCCCG